ensembl:snRNA U6 U6 spliceosomal RNA
GUUCUCACAUUGGCAGCACACAUACUAAGACUAGAAUGAUACAGAGAUUAGCAUGACCCCUGGGCAAGGAUGACACACAAAUUCAUGAAGCACCCCGUAUUUUG